rnacentral:rRNA from 1 species
UGGGGAAUAUUGCACAAUGGGCGCAAGCCUGAUGCAGCCAUGCCGCGUGUAUGAAGAAGGCCUUCGGGUUGUAAAGUACUUUCAGCGGGGAGGAAGGGAGUAAAGUUAAUACCUUUGCUCAUUGACGUUACCCGCAGAAGAAGCACCGGCUAACUCCGUGCCAGCAGCCGCGGUAAUACGGAGGGUGCAAGCGUUAAUCGGAAUUACUGGGCGUAAAGCGCACGCAGGCGGUUUGUUAAGUCAGAUGUGAAAUCCUCGGGCUCAACCUGGGAACUGCAUCUGAUACUGGCAAGCUUGAGUCUCGUAGAGGGGGGUAGAAUUCCAGGUGUAGCGGUGAAAUGCGUAGAGAUCUGGAGGAAUACCGGUGGCGAAGGCGGCCCCCAGGACGAAGACUGACGCUCAGGUGCGAAAGCGUGGGGAGCAAACAGG